rnacentral:rRNA from 1 species
UACGUAGGGGGCGAGCGUUGUCCGGAAUUAUUGGGCGUAAAGAGCGUGUAGGCGGCCCGGUAAGUCCGCCGUGAAAGCUUAGGGCUCAACCCUAAGUUUGCGGUGGAUACUGUCGGGCUAGAGGGUGGUAGAGGCGAGUGGAAUUCCCGGUGUAGCGGUGAAAUGCGCAGAUAUCGGGAGGAACACCAGUAGCGAAGGCGGCUCGCUGGGCCAUUCCUGACGCUGAGACGCGAAAGCUAGGGGAGCGAACAGG